rnacentral:sRNA from 2 species
CCUGCACCGGCUCCAGGGGAGUAGCCUCCUUACCUUUGCCAUUUCUGGCCCGGUAAGAGCAGUUAUCAACAUACUUGAGCCUCAAUGCUCAUGGUGACUGCGACCUUCGUCUUUCAGAGGGUU